rnacentral:misc_RNA from 1 species
GAUGAAGAACGUAGCGAAAUGCGAUAAGUAAUGCGAAUUGCAGAAUUUCCGUGAGUCAUCGAAUCUUUGAACGCACAUUGCGCCCACUGGUAUUCCGGUGGGCAUGCCUGUUCGAGCGUCAUUAUCCUCCCUCAAACCCCGGGUUUGGUGUUGGACCCAAGUUGUGUGAACAACUGGUCUCAAAGACAAUGACGGCGUCCGUAGGACCCUCGGUGCAACGAGCUUUUAGGAGCACGCAUCGAGUUGCAAGGACCUUCCGGGCCGGUCUCCUUUACCAUUUUACAAGGUUGACCUCGGAUCAGGUAGGAAUACCCGCUGAACUUAAGCAUAUCAAUAAGCGGAGGA